rnacentral:lncRNA from 1 species
AAGACAAUUGUGACGCCCGGAUAAUCAAGCUAGAGUAAACCUCUGCUAAUGAUGCCACGUCACCUCGAUUACUGUUGCUAAUCCCGCGUUGGAUCAAAACUGUUCAAAUUCAAAUUUUCGUCAAACAUCAAAAAAUUUCAAACAUUAAAGUAAAAUGUUCUGAGUGUGCCAAUUAAUGCAUAGGUAUUUAUGGUGAAGAAACCACGUUUUUACAGGAUGUCUAAAUAAUUGAAAAUGAAUUAAAACAGUAGAGAAAAUAAAGAAAAAGGAAAAUAAUAGAAAUAGAAAACAAAACUACAAAAUAAAAAUAAAAAGAGAAGAGGCCCCCUGGCCAACUGGGCCACCACGCACCAGGCCAGCCCAACCGACCACACCCCCCACACCCUUAUCCCCUCUCACACCCCACCCGAAACCCUAUCCACUCCCCACUUCCCCCACCUCGCUCCCCCACUCCCCCCCUCGAUUGGAUCUGGAUCGGGAGGAGCCCGAUCCCCUCGCCCCUCCACCCCCGAUGCUGACGCCUCNNNNNNNNNNNNNNNNNNNNNNNNNNNNNNNNNNNNNNNNNNNNNNNNNNNNNNNNNNNNNNNNNNNNNNNNNNNNNNNNNNNNNNNNNNNNNNNNNNNNNNNNNNNNNNNNNNNNNNNNNNNNNNNNNNNNNNNNNNNNNNNNNNNNNNNNNNNNNNNNNNNNNNNNNNNNNNNNNNNNNNNNNNNNNNNNNNNNNNNNNNNNNNNNNNNNNNNNNNNNNNNNNNNNNNNNNNNNNNNNNNNNNNNNNNNNNNNNNNNNNNNNNNNNNNNNNNNNNNNNNNNNNNNNNNNNNNNNNNNNNNNNNNNNNNNNNNNNNNNNNNNNNNNNNNNCGGACAACCCCAUCGCCCACGCCGUCGCUGCUCCAUCCUCGGCUCCUCCUCGCCGGCUCCACCAACCCUCACCGCUCGUUUCCUAGAUCGGGGCGACCACGCCCCCGACCCUGUCGACGUCGCCGCCGACGCCACCGCCCCGGAUCGCCAUCGCUCGGAGCCACCUCACCGGACGCCAUCGCCGAACUGCCUCCCCGUCGUCCUCUCCAUCGCCUACUCGUCCCCGUCGUCGCUCGCGUCGUCCCCGAAGACCUCCUCGCCCCCCCGCUGCCCCGUCCCUACAAAUCCUGGUGAGGCCACGGCCUCCGCCCUCCUCCUUCCCCUGUCCCCGCGCCGUCCGUGCCUCCCUCGGUGCGCCACCGCGCACGGACGCGUGCUCGCCACCCACCUGCGUCGCUCUUUCGCGAAACUCCCCUGCUGCUGCUCUGCACAGCCCCGACAUGCCGCCCCCGCUUGCCUCCUGUUGCGGCCCGUCCCCGCGGCCACCGGCCCGCUCGCCCCGUGCCCCGCCUCCACCUCUGGCCCCGCGGGCCAUCGCCGCGCCGGCGGCCAACUUCGGCGCCCAUCCUGGGCUCUCUCCUUCCCGCUGCCACCCCGUUCAGCCACCACAUCCACCGCGGUAGCCCCGCUCCGCCCGGCUCUGCCCCAGCGCCCGUUCGGGCUGCCGACGCCCGCGCCCGCUAAUGGCCAGAUGGGGCACUUACGAUUGGGCCCCGCCCCCUGUAUCUAUGACGAAUGGGCCCAUGCCCCUGUACUGUUUAGAACAGAAAUAAAAAUAAAAUAAUAAAAAUAAUAUUAAUUAAUUAACUUAAUCAACAAUGUUUAAUUAAACCUAAUCAUCUAAUUAUUCUAAUUAAACUUGUUUAGUUAAUCCCAUACAAUGACAGUGGGACCUACAUGUCAGUUUGACUAAGUCAACUGACUGGUUGACUGAUGACAUCACGCUGACAUCAUAAUGGCAUUUUCUAAAUUAAAUUUAUUCUGGUAAUUCUAAAAAUCAACUAAAACUUUGGAAAUUAAUAUAAAAUAAUCCGUAACUCGGAUGAAAAUACUUUGUACACAAAAGUUGCUCAGAACGACGAGACGAAUCCGGAUACGCAGUCUGUUCGUUCACCACACAUCCCUAGCAUAGCGAACACGCAACUUUCCCCCUACGGUUCAUCUGUCCGGAAACGCUGAACACCGGGAAUACUUUCCCGGAUGUUUUCCCCCUUCGCUAGUAUCACCUAUCCCUGCGUUAGAUCACCCCUGGCACCGCGUAUUGCCUUGUUAUAUUUUGUGAUGCUUUGUUUGCUCUGUAUUCAUUGUUUCUUCCCCUCUUCUCUCCGGUAGACUACGAGACGGACGUCGUUGCUGCCUUGAUCGACUACGUUGUUGACGACCCCUCCUUGCGAGAGCAACCAGGCAAGCCCCCCCUUGAUCACCAGAUAUCGCCUAUUCUUCUCUAUACUGCUUGCAUUAGAGUAGUGUAGCAUGUUACUGCUUUCGGUUAAUCCUAUUCUGCUGCAUAGCCUGUCAUUGUUGCUACAGUUGUUAACCUUACUUGCUAUCCUACUGCUUAGCAUAGGAUGCUAGUGUUCCAUCAGUGGCCCUACACUCUUGUCCGUCAGCCAUGCUAUACUACUGGGCCGUGAUCACUUCGGGAGGUGAUCACGGGUAUAUACUAUAUACUUUAUAUACAUGACACAUGUGGUGACUAAAGUCAGGUCAGCUCGUUGAGUACCCGCAUGUGAUUAUGAUGAGGGGGCUGAAAGGACAGGUGGCUCCAUCCCGGUAGAGGUGGGCUGGGUUCUUGACGGCCCCCGACUGUUACUUGGCGGAGCGACAGGGCAGGUUGAGACCACCUAGGAGAGAGGUGGGCCUGGCCCUGGUCGGCGUCCGCGGAUACUUAAAAAUAACACGCUUAACGAGUUCUUGGUAUUUGAUCUGAGUCUGGCCAUUUGGCCUAUACGCACUAACCAACUACGUGGGAAAGUUAUGGGCACUCGACGUCGUGGUAUCAGCCGAAGCCUUCGUGACGUCAGCGACUGAGCGGCGCGCGCCGGAUUGGAACGUAAGCCUGCUCUUGUAUUAAGGGGGCUAGUUCUGCUUCCGGCCGCGUACGCAACGUGCAGGUGUGCAAUGGGCGAUGGGCCCAGACCCCUACGCGCAUAGGAUUUAGACUGGCGUGCUGAUCUUCCACGGCCGGGCAUGACCCAGAAAAGUGUGUCCGGCCAAAUGGGAUCGAGCGUGUUGGGUUAUGUGGUGCACCCCUGCAGGGAAGUUUAUCUAUUCAAAUAGCCGUGUCCCUCGGUAAAAGGACGACCCGGAGUUGUACCUUGACCUUAUGACAACUAGAACCGGAUACUUAAUAAAACACACCCUUCCAAGUGCCAGAUAUAACCCGGUGAUCGCUCUCUAACAGGGCGACGAGGAGGGGAUCGCCGGUAGGAUUAUGCCAUACGAUGCUACUUGGUGAACUUACUGAAGGAAAUAUGCCCUAGAGGCAAUAAUAAAGUUAUUAUUUAUUUCCUUAUAUCAUGAUAAAUGUUUAUUAUUCAUGCUAGAACUGUAUUAACCGGAAACAUAAUACAUGUGUGAAUACAUAGACAAACAGAGUGUCACUGGUAUGCCUCUACUUGACUAGCUCGUUGAUCAAAGAUGGUUAUGUUUCCUAACCAUAGACAUGAGUUGUCAUUUGAUUAACGGGAUCACAUCAUUAGGAGAAUGAUGUGAUUGACUUGACCCCUUCCGUUAGCUUAGCACUCGAUCGUUUAGUAUGUUGCUAUUGCUUUCUUCAUGACUUAUACAUGUUCCUAUGACUAUGAGAUUAUGCAACUCCCGUUUAUCGGAGGAACACUUUGUGUGCUACCAAACGUCACAACGUAACUAGGUGAUUAUAAAGGUGCUCUACAGGUGUCUCCAAAGGUACUUGUUGGGUUGGCAUAUUUCGAGAUUAGGAUUUGUCACUCCGAUUGUCGGAGAGGUAUCUCUGUGCCCACUCAGUAAUACACAUCACUAUAAGCCUUGCAAGCAUUGUGACUAAUGAGUUAGUUGCGGGAUGAUGUAUUACGGAACGAGUAAAGAGACUUUCCGGUAACGAGAUUGAACUAGGUAUCGAGAUACCGACGAUCGAAUCUCGGGCAAGUAACAUACCGUUGACAAAGGGAACAACGUAUGUUGUUAUGCGGUCUGACCGAUAAAGAUCUUCGUAGAAUAUGUUGGAACCAAUAUGAGCAUCCAGGUUCCACUAUUGGUUAUUGACCGGAGAGGUGUCUCGCUCAUGUCUACAUAGUUCUCGAACCCGUAGGGUCCGCACGCUUAACGUUACGAUGACAGUUAUAUUAUGAGUUUAUAUGUUUUGAUGUACCGAAGGUUGUUCGGAGUCCCGGAUGUGAUCACGGACAUGACGAGGAGUCUCGAAAUGGUCGAGACAUAAAGAUUGAUAUAUUGGAAGCCUAUGUUUGGACAUCGGAAGUGUUCCGGGUGAAAUCGGGAUUUUUCCGGAGUACUGGGAAGUUACCGGAACCCCCCGGUAACUUAAUGGGCCUUAGUGGGCCUAGGUGGAAGAGAGGAGAGGAGGCCAGGGCAGGGCCGUGCGCCCCUCCCCCCAGUCCGAAUAGGACAAGGAGAGGGGGCGGCGCCCCCCCUUCCUUCCUCCCCUCCACCUUUUCCCCCUUCCUCUCCUAGUCCAACAUGGAAAAGGGGGGAGUCCUACUCCCGGUAGGAGUAGGACUCCUCCUGGCGCGCCUCUCCUCCUUGGCCGGCGGCCUCCCCCUUGCUCCUUUAUAUACGGGGGCAGGGGGCACAUCUACACACACAAUUGAUCAACGAUCUUUUAGCCGUGUGCGGUGCCCCCCUCCACCAUAUUACACCUCGAUAAUAUCGUAGCGGUGCUUAGGCGAAGCCCUGUGUCGGUAGAACAUCAUCAUCGUCACCACGCCGUCGUGCUGAUGAAACUCUCCCUCAACACUCGGCUGGAUCGGAGUUCGAGGGACGUCAUCGAGCUGAACGUGUGCUGAACUCGGAGGUGCCGUGUAUUCGAUACUUGAUCGGUCGGAUCGUGAAGACGUACGACUACAUCAACCGCGUUGUGUUAACGCUUCCGCUUUCGGUCUACGAGGGUACGUGGACAACACUCUCCCCUCUCGUUGCUAUGCAUCACCAUGAUCCUGCGUGUGCGUAGGAAUUUUUUUGAAAUUACUACGUUCCCCAACACUUACCAUCUACUCUCUUCUACAUGCUGCAAGAUGGAGGUGGCCUGAAGCGUAGUCUUCGACAAGAUUAGCUAUCCCCCUCUUAUUCUGGCAUUCUGCAGUUCAGUCCACCGAUAUGGCCCUUUACACAUAUACCCAUGCAUAUGUAGUGUAGCUCCUUGCUUGCGAGUACUUUGGAUGAGUACUCACGGUUGCUUUUCUCCCUCUAUUCCCCCUUUCCCUUCUACCUGGUUGUCGAAACCAGAUGCCGGAGCCCAGGAGCCAGACGCCACAGAACGACGACGACUCCUACUACACCGGAGGUGCCUACUACUACGUUUAGGCCGCUGACGACGACCAGGAGUAGUUUAGGAGGAUCCCAGGCAGGAGGCCUGCGCCUCUUUCGAUCUGUAUCCCAGUUUGUGCUAGCCAUCUUAUGGCACCUUGUUUAACUUUAUGUCUGUACUCAGAUAUUGUUGCUUCCGCUGACUCGUCUAUGAUCGAGCACUUGUAUUCGAGCCCUCGAGGCCCCUGGCUUGUAUUAUGAUGCUUGUAUGACUUAUUUAUUUUUAGAGUUGUGUUGUGAUAUCUUCCCGUGAGUCCCUGAUCUUGAUCCUACACGUUUGCGUGUAGGAUUAGUGUAUGAUUGAAUCGGGGGCGUCACAAGUUGGUAUCAGAGCCGACUGCCUAUAGGAAUCCCCUUCCCAACUCCUUGGCCGAAGUCAAGUCUAGACAUUACAAAAACUUUUUUACUAACAUGGCUGUGUGUCUUACGGGACCACGUCGCCAUUUGGGUGGUAUUAGGAUCUUUUAUUCCUCGUCUAUACUCUGGGACUCUGAUCUCUCUACUAUUCGGGUUAAAUGAAUUUGCUAACUCUGACAUUAGGAUCUCGUGAUCGCAUCCACCCGGAGAGCCCCUUAUUGCAGAGGAUCGUCUGCUGCAUCAGAAGAUUCUGAAGAUACUCUCUGAUGUUCUCUCGAGACUAUGUGCCCGUCGCUUUUGCAAUCCCCUACCACCGAUACAUCCCUAUGGAUAAAUCCAUAAACCUGUCGUCCUUACUUUUAUUCCCAAUUAAUCUUGUUAUUACAAGAUACCUUGAAAUCCUCUCUAUUGUUCCGAGAAUAUUUUGUGCCUACUGCCUUGCAGUUCCUUGCCACCUGAAUACCCCUAUGGAUAAUUCCUCACACUUAUCGAGGAUUCAUUCAUCCCCAGUUGUUCAUGCGUUUCACAAAAUACUUCGAAAUGCCAUUCGAUCUUCCAAGAAUCCUAUACAGCUUGGUGCUCUUGAGAAUCUUGUUGCCUGCUGCAUUGUGGUUAAUUCCAUAUGCCUAGCAAUAUUCUUUGACUCCUUUGUCAUUAUCACCUUGAGUCCCUCGAUUCAAUACGUGUGUGAUUGCUCACAAUCAUCACCUGAUCCUUAGGAAUUGUCUUUCUGGCUCAGACGCCAUUCCAGAUAUGAGCUGGCUUUCUACCAAUCAAACAUUGACCGAUGGUGCCUCUAAGUCUACUCAACUUACUCGUAAUUGAUCAGGGCAUCUGAUUCUGAUACACCGAUCUGGUAUUCAUAAUUUCUUUGAGUUUAAAACUUCGAAGUAUUCAGAUAUUGCCAUAAUCUGUUGCCUUUGCAUUCUUUGUUCCUCUGGUUGUGUGCCGAUACUCACAUCAGCUCCGCUAUGGACCGUCGGAUCCUUUGUUGAAAUAUCAUCCGACAGUGUCCUUCGUAUACAAAAACCUUGAGAAGUUCUUUCCCUGAUACAUAAUGUCUUCGGUAAAUUGUAUCCUCUCCUUUUGUCACCCAUGCUCUACUAUCGAGCUUGUGUUAUUUACUAUUGAAGCUUGUGGUAUAUGUUCCCAAGAUGACCCUAAGGGUUGAACCUAUGCCUUUCCAGAUCCGGGUAAACCCGAGAGUUUUCACAAGUCAUAAUCUUCUGGAGUUUUGAUAGAUAAAAUUUAAACAUUACAACUUCUUCGAAAAAUGAGAAGUGAAUGAAAGGUUAUGCAUUGGAGAAGUGGGAGUCGACCUUGAACUUGUGUUCAUGCCCAUGGAAACAAUGUAGAUCUUAUCAUUAAAGCUUCUCUUAAAUUAAUUAUUCCCUUGGUAUAAGUUCAUCUUAUAUCUGGGAUCUGGCCUUUUGCAAUCGUGGUUCCGGCCAUGUUCUCCUUUAAAUACCAUUUCUCGAACAAGUUAAAGCACUUGUCUUAUACAAAUCAACACGCCUGCCCAACCUCUAUUAUGAUCUACCUUUGAGUAUUACCCCUGGUAUCUCGAGAAUAUCAAAGAACUGCGUUGCUUCCUAUGAGUCUUCAUCUAGUGUUGCUUCUCACUGAUUUCAGAUUUCCCCCAGGUUCUGAGUUAUUUCACUCGAGAACACUGAUAAGUGAAUCGAUUCCGCACUUCGAUUCAAUAACUCUAAGUAAUUUUCAUUGCUUACGAGUUUAAUAAUCCUUCAAGUCAUUCCUAGCCUAAUUGUCUAUAUCAUUAUUGUGCUAAAUUUUAACUGUGCUACCUGGUCCUUCUUUCCGGAGCACAAAUUUUGACGAUGAGCUAACCUUACGUCAAUCUUCCUCAUCAUAUCAUUUCACCUUAAACAUCUAGCUUGAUUUCGAGUUUGUCGUACCCUUGGUUCCUAUAGCCUUUCGCUUCAUCAUACCUUUGACUUGAUGUCGUCGCCGAUUGAUUACAUCUUCGUGGAAUCUCUCGAUAAAUGUGUCAUGAUCAUCGUCAACGUUUUAACUUCUUCCGAGAUGUACAUUGAGUUCCUGAUGAGAAAUUCCAUGCUUGCCCCCUCGAUGAUUUAUGUUAACAUCGAAAACAUUAUUGAUUUCCCUCCCAACACAAAACUUGUUCUAGUUUUGCAUUGUACCUUGAGUUCCUUGCUAUCCGACUUAUGUUAUGCUCUACCUUGGAGUAUUACCAUCGUUUAUGACAAGAAUGUCGUGAGAAUUUCACCACCUCUUAUGAAUUAUUGAUGCAAGUAAUACUUCUCACCAUCACCAUUCUUCCUUGGUCCCCGUGUUGUUUCUAAUCGGAGAACCGACAAUUGAACUAUGCUGUGUGACUUCAAAAUUCUAGCAACCCUAUUGAUUUGAAGUUAACGGUCGAUAGUUUCAUUCUAAGUCUAUUGCUUAUUUAAUCAUCAUUCAAACAUUGAUCGUGCUACCCAGUCCAGAUUUCAGGGUGCACCCUUCUAUCAUUGUUAAAUUGUGUAUGUUUUCCUCGAGCAUACAUCAUUAUACCAUUUGAUCUGACAAAUGUUAUCUCCUUUUUCACAUGAUUGUGGAAAUCCAUUUUUUGGAAUUCUCAAUGGUUUGGCGCUGAGUCCAUCAGUCACCUCCUCACCCUCUCCUUGAUUUAAUGAUGAACUCUUGUUUCGAAACUCGCUUCCAUAGUUCAUUUCCCGAGGAUCUUACAAUGUCAUCUUGUUAAUUUGUGUUGCACCUUUUCUUCUCAGGCAUCUUGAGUCUGAGAUAUGCUAACACCAAUCAGAUAUGAAUCCCAGUCAGAUGGUUGGGAUGCAUUUUCCAAGAGUUAUAAUGUUGGUCUUUAUAUGACCCGGUAAGGUGAUGUCAUGCCUAGCACACCUGGCUGGAGGGCCUAUUGUUAUAGUUCUUCCUUUUAGCAAUGUUAACCAUUCUCCCAAGAGGAAAUUGAAAGACUUAUUCUCUAAGUUGUUCCUGAUGAAUCCAUUGAGUAUCCAAAGUCCGACCUUUGCUUGAAGACUAUGUCAAUGCUAUCUCGAAGCAUGUCUGUGGUACUCCGAUUUUUGACAAGAACAUUUGAAGCCCAAUGCUAAAUGUUUUCUUGCUCAAUUAUCCAAACACCGUUGUAUGCGUAAUGUCAUGAAAUUUCCUUCCCCUUACCUAAAGAGUUUUCUACAUUAUAUCCUGUCAUGGAUAUCAUGCUCUGCUUGUCCUUGGGAAGGAUAUACCCUUGAAAUAUGUGUUUAAACACAUUUUCCUUUCCAUUGUUCUGCUUAAACCUGAUAAUCAUAUUUUCCUUUCCAUUGUUUGGUUUAACCUUUCUUGUGAUCUAUAUGAUCUAAGCAGUAAUAUUCUCCUGCUUUUGUAAACGCCUCGGUGUACAAUUCUGUCAGAGAGAACCUGUUACUUUUGUUGAUGACAUUCUGGUAACCACCGAUGGACGAGAACUUUGCCUACUGGCCCGCCUCAUUCAACGAGCAGGAAAAUGGUUCUCUUCGUCCCUUGCCCUUGGUACCGAUGUUGUUGCCGACAUAACCGACAGAGUAUCCUCUGACAUGCCUUGCUUACAUGAUCGUGCAAGAUGUCACCGUCCUUCCUACUUUUAACCCACAUGGUGGGCCCAUAACCCACAAUUCCACAGGAUCGAAACCUGACUCUCCUGUACACCUUAUUGACAAAGUUAUCCCUUGCUCUUGGUUUCGUAGGUAAUUCGCGAGCCACCUUCCUAGUGAUCUAUUCUGGUAUCAGACACAAUACUUAUUCCCGUUGCUUGAACCCCUUUCACACUUUGUUUCAGGCAUCGAACGAUUGCCUACCCAUUUGAAACUUUGGUACCAUCGUAUAUUGCACUCAACGAAUUCACUGAAAUACAACCCGUGGGGUACCUUGUGCAUUUCCCAUUGAGUUCACCGUCAGAUGCCCAACUUUGUGGAGAUGCGUUCUUCCGGAGUUUUUCCCUUUGGUCGCGUUCGUAGGACGUUGGAGAUCCCGAAGAAAGGAUGACGACUUGAUCAUGGUGACUUGAAGCAGAGAAAUGAAGGCAUCAACGAAAGGGAUCAACCUCUUCGAAAGGGCAGCCAAGACCGAGAAGACUCGUUAGGUUUUUCGCUACCAGCACCUCCCCCCCUUACUCCACCGCUUAAAUCUCGGGACGAGAUUUCUUGUAGUGGAGGAGAAUUGUGACGCAAGGAUAAUCAAGCUAUAGUAAACCUCUUCUAAUGAUGCCACGUUACCUCGAUUACUGUUGCUAAUCCCGUGUUGGAUCAAAACUGUUCAAAUUCAAAUUUGAAUUUUCGUCAAACAUCAAAAAAUUUCAAACAUUAAAGUAAAAUGUUCAGAGUGUGCCAAUUAAUGCAUAGGUAUUUAUGGUGAAGAAACCACGUUUUUACAGGAUGUCUAAAUAAUUGAAAAUGAAUUAAAACAGUAGAGAAAAUAAAGAAAAAGGAAAAGAAUAGAAAUAGAAAACAAAACUACAAAAUAAAAAUAAAAA